rnacentral:rRNA from 1 species
GUGGGGAAUAUUGGACAAUGGGCGAAAGCCUGAUCCAGCCAUGCCGCGUGUGUGAAGAAGGUCUUCGGAUUGUAAAGCACUUUAAGUUGGGAGGAAGGGCAUUAACCUAAUACGUUAGUGUUUUGACGUUACCGACAGAAUAAGCACCGGCUAACUACGUGCCAGCAGCCGCGGUAAUACGAAGGGUGCAAGCGUUAAUCGGAAUUACUGGGCGUAAAGCGCGCGUAGGUGGUUCGUUAAGUUGGAUGUGAAAGCCCCGGGCUCAACCUGGGAACUGCAUCCAAAACUGGCGAGCUAGAGUACGGUAGAGGGUGGUGGAAUUUCCUGUGUAGAGGUGAAAUGCGUAGAUAUAGGAAGGAACACCAGUGGCGAAGGCGACCACCUGGACUGAUACUGACACUGAGGUGCGAAAGCGUGGGGAGCAAACAGGAUUAGAUACCCCUGUAGUCC